rnacentral:snoRNA from 1 species
CCUGCCCUAAAGGCAUUGCAGGUGUGGCCGCCGGGUCACAUGUGUCAGGUAGUAAAGACGAGAGAGGGUCUAUCUGUGCUCACUCUUCUGACCUGUGAACGUCUAAAUGAUUAGUGGCCUCACACU